CUUCUAUGUCCUCUCUGCCUUCUUCAGCGUGGAUUUCUUGAUCAUGACUUUCUUCGCCAGCCUUCAUAGCAGAUGCCUGCUGCCACUUCACAGCAAAGAGCAACAAAACAGAGAGCAAAAUCCUCUUCACUGUCUUGGCUGUGUGAUGAAUGCAGUCUUCUGUACACUUUGAUAAGGAAGGUAGCAGAGAUGACACCAGAAGGGAUGUUGAUUCUCCUUACAAAACACAUCCAGAUCCAGUAACCAACAUCUCACUGGCACAUGACAUCACUUCCAGUUCAGGAGCUCCUGGACCCGCCCCUUCUGCCUCACUGAUUUCAUAACUGGCACCACCACCAUCUUUUUCUAGUCUAAUGAUAGACUCGCGUCUGGAAAGGCGUGUCUCUCAACACAUGUUAAACUUGUGUUUAUUAUUUUGUCACAUAAUACACAGGGUUUGCCUAAGGAUAGCCCAAACCUUUAUC